GCUUAACACAUGCAAGUCGAGCGAGAAUCGUUUUGCUGAAGGCUUCGGUCUGACGCAGAAUGAGGAAAGCGGCGAACGGGUGAGUAACGCGUGGGCAACCUGGCCUUAAGAAAAGGAUAGCCCCCGGAAACGGGGAGUAAUACUUUAUGAGAAUAGAAAAGGGCAUCCUAUUUCUAUUCAAAGCGCAAGCGCUUAAGGAUGGGCCCGCGUAUCAUGAGCUAGUUGGUGAGAUAACAGCCCACCAAGGCAACGAUGAUGAGCCGGUAUGAGAGGGCGAACGGCCACAUAGGAACUGAGAGACGGUCCAAACUCCUACGGGAGGCAGCAGUGGGAAAUAGUGCGAAAUGGAGAAGAACUCUGACGCAGCAAUACCGCGUGAACGAAGAAGGUCUUCGGAUCGUAAAGCUCUGUUAUCAGGGAAGAAGAAAAUGACGGUACCUGAUGAGCAAGUCCCGGCUAACUACGUGCCAGCCGCCGCGGUAACAC
rnacentral:rRNA from 1 species